rnacentral:rRNA from 1 species
AUGGCACCCAAGGAAUUACUCCUGUCCGCCACCCUCCUCUUGCUUCUCCUCCGAGCUGCCACCGGGAACCUCCGGCACGAAAACGUCAUCGAUCGGUGCUGGCGCGGCCAGAGCAACUGGGCCACCGACCGGCAGCGGCUCGCCAUGUGCUCCGUCGGCUUCGCGGGGAAGAUGCGGCAGAACCGCGGCCACGGGGUGACCAUGUACACGGUGACCGACCCAAGCGACGACCCCGUGCGGCCCAGGCCCGGCACGCUGCGGUACGGCGCGACGGUGCUACCGGGAAAGGUCUGGAUCACCUUCCAGCCGGGCACCAUGCACAUCAGGCUGGCGCAGCCGCUCUUCGUCAAGAGCUUCACCACGAUCGACGGCCGUGGCGCCGACGUGCACGUCGCCGGGGGCGCCGGCAUUGUGCUCUACGAGGUGAGGAACGUGGUCAUCCACGGGCUCCACGUGCACGGCGUCCGCGCGCAGCCCCCCGGGCAGGUCGUCCGGCCCGGCGGCGCCGUGCAGAACAUGGACGUCGGCGACGGCGACGCCAUCCGGCUGCUGUCCAGCUCCAAGGUGUGGAUCGACCACAACACGCUAGCGCGGUGCGAGGACGGCCUGCUGGACGUGACGCUCGGGUCCACGGACGUGACCGUCUCCAACAACUGGUUCCACGACCACGACAAGGUCAUGCUGCUGGGCCACGACGACCAGCACGUCGCCGACCGCCGGAUGCGGGUCACCGUGGCGUUCAACCGCUUCGGGCCCCACGUGAACCAGCGCAUGCCGAGGAUCAGGCACGGCUACGCCCACGUCGUCAACAACUUCUACGACGGGUGGAGGGAAUACGCCAUCGGAGGAAGCAUGGGGCCGACUGUCAAGAGCCAGGGCAACCUGUUCAUCGCCUCCACAACAGACAGCGCCAAUGUGACGAGAAGGAUGCCUCUGGUCGGACAUGCCGAGGGUAAGGACUGGCAUUGGCACUCCAGUGGGGACUCGUUUGAGAACGGCGCCGUCUUUAAGCAGACCGGCAGCAGGGUGCGGCCGAAAUACAACAGGCACCAGGCAUUCCCAGCGGCGAGCUCCGGCGAGGUGAGAUCGCUGACCAAGGACGCCGGUGCUUUGAGGUGCUCCGCCGGGGCCGCGUGCUGA